GUACAUAGUACCACAUAGUUUGUCAAGAUAUGACGGACUGGAAGCCCGGCAAAGUUCAAAGCCACAAAAUAGAAGGCCUUUAUUCGAUGUUAAACUUUCAUAUAUAGGAAAGCGAGUGUUUGUAUUCCGAGUAACACAUCAUGAUCAUGACUCAUGACUAUGAAACAAGCAAUGCUGCAUGGAUUUAGAGUACUUUUUACCUUAGAAUUCCGACCAUCCUUUUCUUGAAUAAAUUACUUUGACAUGCAUGGUAAUAUUAAUAACAUUUAAUUUAGUAUAUAUUGGACUUGUUAUGCAUUCCUGCCCAGAAUGGACAUUUAAUUAGCAUGCCACAAUGGGCACCGAUAUAGUAUUUAUAGAGUGCAUUGUGUACCUCAUUAAAAAAUGUAUCCUCAGACUGGGAAACCUCUACAAUUAAAAGAUAUUACAACUAUCAGUAAAGAAUACAAUUUGGUUUGCAACCAUGUAUGUUACUACAGUAAAUCUUUCAUGAAUUCUUGUUUCUGUACGUGUUGUGCCCUCAGGUGAAGAUUUUAUGUUUGUGAUGUUUCCCUGAGUGUGUGCACACCGGGCAAGCUGAAAAGUUUGCUUGACCGCAGUGGGAAUCGAACCCACGACCUUUGGUUUGUUAGCCAAUGCUCUACCAACUGAGCUACGAGGUCAAAUCGGUUCGAGUGUGUGAUAUUUCGGAAAACAGUCUAGUUCCUUCGAUAUCAGGAUGUUUUCAUGAUCUGGAAUUGAUGUUUCUAGUGUUACACACUCAGGCGAAGAUACAGUAUAUAUGUUUGUGAUGUUGCUCUGAGUGUGUAGCUCAGUUGGUAGCUCAUGCAUCAGACUAUAUACAUGUGUCCCUUGUCCAAUGUGGACACACUCAUGCAGAUCAGCAACAUCACAAACAUAAUUCUUUCAUGUUUUUUU